AUUGAACGCUGGCGGCAGGCCUAACACAUGCAAGUCGAGCGGAUGAAGGGAGCUUGCUCCUGGAUUCAGCGGCAGACGGGUGAGUAAUGCCUAGGAAUCUGCCUGGUAGUGGGGGAUAACGUCCGGAAACGGGCGCUAAUACCGCAUACGUCCUGAGGGAGAAAGUGGGGGAUCUUCGGACCUCACGCUAUCAGAUGAGCCUAGGUCGGAUUAGCUAGUUGGUGGGGUAAAGGCCUACCAAGGCGACGAUCCGUAACUGGUCUGAGAGGAUGAUCAGUCACACUGGAACUGAGACACGGUCCAGACUCCUACGGGAGGCAGCAGUGGGGAAUAUUGGACAAUGGGAAAGCCUGAUCCAGCCAUGCCGCGUGUGUGAAGAAGGUCUUCGGAUUGUAAAGCACUUUAAGUUGGGAGGAAGGGCAGUAAGUUAAUACCUUGCUGUUUUGACGUUACCAACAGAAUAAGCACCGGCUAACUUCGU
rnacentral:rRNA from 1 species